UACAGAGGGGGCAAGCGUUGUUCGGAAUUACUGGGCGUAAAGGGCGCGCAGGCGGCCUUCUAAGUCGAACGUGAAAUCCCCGGGCUCAACCCGGGAACUGCGUCCGAUACUGGAAGGCUUGAAUCCGGGAGAGGGAUGCGGAAUUCCAGGUGUAGCGGUGAAAUGCGUAGAUAUCUGGAGGAACACCGGUGGCGAAGGCGGCAUCCUGGACCGGCAUUGACGCUGAGGCGCGAAAGCCAGGGGAGCAAACGGG
rnacentral:rRNA from 1 species